AGUGUUCCACAGCAGACAAAACGCUCAACGGCAAACGUCUUCAGCUCAACUCAAUAAUUUAUUUGUCUGCAAGGUACUUCUGAGGCAGGGGCUCCUUUGAAGUGGUGGAGGCACAGAUGGCACGACCACUGUGAACAAGGUGGGAUUCCUCAGCAGGGAUUGAAGCUACUUCACUUGUCAGCAAACAGACGGCAUCAUUGCUUUGUACCGGAGCCCUGUUAUCUCUGGCUGUGUGAUAAGGAAUUCCACAGAGUUUCCCUAUCUGGAGGAAGAAGAAAGACGACCCUGAGUCUAUUUUGUGUUACAGGAAGCUUCCACCCAGGCAAAUGCUUCCUAGCAAUCAAAGCUUGUCAUGUUCUCUGACUCAAGUAGACUCUGAAGGAGCUGUCGGACCAAGAUCCAGGUUCCUCUGGCCCAUUCCCUGGUC